AAAAUAAAAAAAUUAAAAUUUUCAAAGAUAAACUUAUAAAUGUGCUAUUUUGGUCAUUUUAGUUUUUGAAUGCUAUUUUUGUGAUAUAAACUUUAAAAAAUGUUAUUUUGGAGAUUUGCCUUUAUAAUAUUCGGAGGCAAAUCACAGAAGAGAAACCUUUAUAUUGAGUUCACAUUUUAAAAUGCGUAAGACCUUUUUCUAGUGCGAUUCUUUGACAAACCGAAGGAAGUCAGAUUUAUUAGACAAGUCACAAGAGCACAAAAGCUAUCAUCUUCUUCAGCAAAAAAACAAGAUAUGGGGGUUCACGGUUUUACUGCAGAUCAACUGUUCGUUGAAAUGUCUCUUUGUUCCCAUCUCCUACGUUAUGGCCCAUGUGGGGCCAUGUGAUUCAUGAAAAACUGUGGAGAGACGGUCAACAACUCCGACUUGUUUGUCCCCAAGAAAUCUAUAUACAUCCAAACAUUAUUUAACAAAUAUUCUGUAACGACCCGGUUUUCACUAAACCGAUAUUGAAAUUGGUUUGAUUAUUUAAUUGGACUAAACCAAACUAAUCGCUAAACCAAAGCGAUAUAUAUAAAACCGUAUGCAUCUCCUUCCUCAUGUUAACCUAGCCGACAUUUUUACAAGCGGAAACCAGCGGGGCUUUUCAUCACCAACCACCAUUCGUCAUAGUCUUCAUCAGAGGAUCCCCACCGUCAUGAUCAUCUCACCGGAGGAGGGUCUGAGAUCCUUGCCGCGCCGGAGCCUUUAUCAACCCUCGUCAUGGCUGACUUAACCGAGAGAUGGAGGAGGAACGAUCUAAACUGGAGCUGUGGCGUUUAACACCAUUCACCACCAUCGUUAACCAUGAGCCAAAGGAGGAGCAAGCCAUGCCACCACUGACUCGUGCCGUGAUCACCGGAGUUUGAUCCAGCCACCAUUAUCAAGCCGUGUCCCACCACCGGAGUCAUCAUCUUCAUUAUCACCACCGGAGCCGUCGUCAUGCCACUGUCAUAAUCUUGUUGCAAUAGAUCCAUCGAUGUUACCAUGCUCUUUGCUCACGUCGGAUCCAUUCAAUGGAUAGCGUGAACAUGCGGAGACUAAGAAAAAGAGAGUGAAACCAGAUCCGUCAGCGUCUCGACACUACCAACACCGAUCAGCACCAUUAUGAACCGUGAGCCACCUGAGUCACAGCUCCCGUCGACGGAGUCCAAGAAGCUUAAGCCGCGAGGUUAAGUACCAUUGUUUUUGGUUCUUGUGUUGCAAGAAACAUAUAUAACGUAAACCUUAUUCAUGCACAUGCGCGCGGGAUGCAAUCAUGCAACUUUAGUGUUACUUGUAUUUCAAGUAAUUAAUUCUAAAGUUGGACUGAGUUUUGUUGGACGAGAUCUUGGAGCAUUUUUGUGAUUCAUCUCCAAUAUUAGCUAAGGUGAGGGUCUUUUCCCGAGCUUCUCUUACACGGCUUAGGACCUCGAAUAAGUAUAAUUUAUUUCUAAUGUGUUCCGUCUUGUGAAAUCGAGUCUGUCAUUGUUUGCUUAGUUUUCUUUGCUUAACCGGAACUAUGGUGUUAGAUGGUUCAACAAUGCUUGUUCGUUUAUAAUUGAUAAUAUAUAUAUAUUUAUAGUAUAUUGAUGUGAAUUGGAUGAUAGCUGACCAUGGGUGUAUCGGCUGGAGACAGUACAUUGGGUGUGGUGGAUGCUGCGACACAGCUUAGUCGACCUGUUGUGCCAAGGCUUGGAGGUCGAUAAAUCGUCUACGGGCGUGUGUUACCGAGCACAUAUUCGGUGGUGUUUUUGUCCUGUUAGUGGGCAGUGAGUGUGCACCUCGCUAGGACCAUUGUUUGAUCUCUGGGUACUUUAGGUGAGACUGACGAGUAUAUGAUAUUUGGACGGAUUGGUGAUACUGAUUUUUAUUUGGGUUUGGAGUGAGUGUAGUCGUGUGUAUGGGCUAUUGUGUUAUGAGAUAUUGUUGGUGGCACGUUGUUCCCUAGAUAGGAGGUGACGGGUGUCACAUAUUCCUUUUCCUUCUUCCUUAUUAUUAAAUUAUUAAUCAUCCCAUCUUUAGUGGUUAACAUUCAUGGAUAUUGAAUAGAACCAUCAGCUAAUCUAAUGCAAAUACAAUAUAGGUUACUUUAUUUUUUAGAGGCAAAAACGCUUUUGUCACUUUGUCUAUUUUGACUUGUAUAAUAUAUGUAGAUCUUUUUUUUUAAAUUGUUUUGCCGAUUUGGUUGGAAUUAGACGACUCGUAGGGUCUUUGUACACACUGGUACUGAUUUGAAACCCACCACGCUUAAUUUGUUCCCUUUCAAUGUUAAAAGCUUCCUUGCUGAAAGAUAGUGGAAGUUUCGCAAGUUUUAUAGUUUCCCAUGUCAUCUUACAUGUGAAUAAGAUUCACUUGGCUUCUCCACACAAAAAAAAAAAUCCUUAGCUUUUGAGGCUAUCUAUCUCUGCUUAAAAGUUGAAACUGAAGUGUUCUUUUUUUAAUUAUUAUAGGUUUUGAUGGGCCAUGCGGUUUCUGCUUCGGUCAGAAAGACGAACCUGCUGGAUAAUUAGAGAGUUAAUUGGCACAACUGAAAAUUUGGAUGUUUGUUUAUUAUCUAUCAACUUUAUAAAGAGUCUAAGCUUUACCUUUUAUACAAAACCCUAAUUAAUAAUGAUAAGCUGUUAACCAUCAACGCCUCCUUCUAGCAGUUCCUUUUUAAAUUCAGAAAAAAAAGUUAAAG